rnacentral:lncRNA from 1 species
AAUUACAUUCAAUAUCGAUAAAUAUUUUUUGUAAAGUGAAGAUAUAAAUUUAUUUGAAUGAGGAUAAUUUUACGUCUACGCUGCAAUUUGUAACAGUAUUCAGUUCGAGAAAAGAUUGUGUUUGCAUGAAAUUAGAUAUACGGUACAAACUAACGUGUUUCCGUUGACAGCUAAUCACGUAACAUUUACCGCAAAUAUUCACACGUUAUGCUUCUAAUAGCGUAAUAAUUCCCAAUGUGAGAUGCAAAAGUUGCGAUCAGUGAACGGUAUCGUUCAGACUUAAUUGAAAAUAUUUACAUACAUACAAGCCUAUUGAUCAAUAUAAUCAGGACUAAAAUUAGUAAUUUUUGUAAAUGAAUUACAUAUUAACAAACAAUGAAUGUGUUACAAUUCUCGUAUCAGUUAUUGGAAAUUAGACGAUGACAGAUUUAUAUAUCUAACAGACUAAUGGAGUAUAUAGAUAAAAUGAUUAAUGAUAAAUCAGAAAUAAACUAUUUUUUAUAUAAAUGAAAGGCCAUAUAAUAAGAGCAGAAGUAAAUUAAACAAAAGUAUAGCAUUUGAGUUUUUAAAAAGUUUUGUUUUUCUCCUAAAAUAAAACGUUGCAACAAAGCGCCAGAACCCGAGCUCGGAAAGUGCAAGUGAACUUUGAUAACUUACAAUUAAAGCGGCGCAUACUAUCUACAGACUUAGUGGUGAGAAAUCAAGCUGUGUACCAAGAAACGAAUUGUAAGAAAGUCGAUGCAAUUAACGCACUCGAGUAGUGUAACCACGCCUUAAUUUAUAUUCGCGUUUGGAUUUCGCAGGCUCGAAGCCUUGUUGAUUCCAUCGCAGGCACACCCACGGAACUAUUCCAGAUACGACAUUUACCAUUGAUACAACUCUUUUCAAGACUAUCUUAUGUUCUUACAACUUACAAUAUUUCAGCCAUUCUCUAUGCAAAAUAUAAUAUUCACUCCUGUUGGAUAAUACUAACAAAAGCCAAAUUUAUGUAUAUUUUAUACAUAAUCGUAAUAUAUUUGCGAUACAAAAUCAUGUUAAGAAGAAUUGUUUAAGCACUUUAUGAUAAUGUUAUUCGUUGAAUCAAGCAACGUAUGUUUAAUGCUAACAAGGAGAGUGCAAGUCCUUUGGGUCACCAGUUUGGUUGAAACUUUGCAGUUUUCAAGUGGAGUCGUAGCCUAACGGCGACAGUCCAGAAUUCCUAUGCCGAAAGACCCGGCGUUUCGAUUCCCA